AGUGAACGCUGGCGGUAGGCCUAACACAUGCAAGUCGAACGGCAGCACAGUAAGAGCUUGCUCUUACGGGUGGCGAGUGGCGGACGGGUGAGGAAUACAUCGCAAUCUACUUUUUCGUGGGGGAUAACGUAGGGAAACUUACGCUAAUACCGCAUACGACCUACGGGUGAAAGCAGGGGAUCUUCGGACCUUGCGUGAUUGAAUGAGCCGAUGUCGGAUUAGCUAGUUGGCGGGGUAAAGGCCCACCAAGGCGACGAUCCGUAGCUGGUCUGAGAGGAUGAUCAGCCACACUGGAACUGAGACACGGUCCAGACUCCUACGGGAGGCAGCAGUGGGGAAUAUUGGACAAUGGGCGCAAGCCUGAUCCAGCCAUGCCGCGUGGGUGAAGAAGGCCUUCGGGUUGUAAAGCCCUUUUGUUGGGAAGGAAGAGCAGCAGGUUAAUACCCCGCUGUUCUGACGGUACCCAAAGAAUAAGCACCGGCUAACUUCGUG
rnacentral:rRNA from 1 species